GCCGGUGUGGCGGAAUGGUAGACGCGGCGGACUCAAAAUCCGCUUGUGGUGACACAGUGGAGGUUCGAGUCCUCUCACCGGUACCA
rnacentral:tRNA from 17 species